CAGAAAGUAGUUUAAUGAAAAUAUCAAUUUUGGAGAUUGAAGAUGAACUUGGAAGUUUCUUUCUGA
rnacentral:tRNA from 1 species